rnacentral:rRNA from 1 species
UACGUAGGGUGCAAGCGUUAAUCGGAAUUACUGGGCGUAAAGCGUGCGCAGGCGGUUAUAUAAGACAGGUGUGAAAUCCCCGGGCUCAACCUGGGAACUGCAUCUGUGACUGUAUAGCUAGAGUACGGUAGAGGGGGAUGGAAUUCCGCGUGUAGCAGUGAAAUGCGUAGAUAUGCGGAGGAACACCGAUGGCGAAGGCAAUCCCCUGGACCUGUACUGACGCUCAUGCACGAAAGCGUGGGGAGCAAACAGG